rnacentral:rRNA from 1 species
UACGUAGGGCGCAAGCGUUGUCCGGAAUUAUUGGGCGUAAAGCGUGCGCAGGCGGCUUUGCAAGACAGAUGUGAAAUCCCCGGGCUUAACCUGGGAACUGCAUUUGUGACUGCAUGGCUGGAGUGCGGCAGAGGGGGAUGGAAUUCCGCGUGUAGCAGUGAAAUGCGUAGAUAUGCGGAGGAACACCGAUGGCGAAGGCAAUCCCCUGGGCCUGCACUGACGCUCAUGCCCGAAAGCGUGGGGAGCAAACAGG